rnacentral:tRNA from 1 species
GGAGAUUUACCCAAGUGGUUGAAGGGGUCGGUCUUGAAAACCGAUAGUAGGCCUCCGGUCUAGCUAGAGUUCGAAUCUCUAAAUCUCCGCCA